CGUGUGAACCUAUAGCUUCUUCCUGGUUUGCUUUCUUUUCUGUCUAAAUUCUAUUAUCUUCUUAGGGUUUCCAUUUCAUCUAUAAUUGCGAUCCAACUAUGUUGAUUUUUUCGAUCAGUCUGGUGGCAUCUCCGCAAUGAAAUUUUAGGGAUUUCCUUUGGGAAUGGACGAUGACGAGCUUGAUUUCUCGAACCAUGAAGUGUUCUCGAGUCCAAACACGGGGGAAUUUCCUAGCAGUGGUUCCAUGGAUAGUUUCUUCAACGAGCUUCUGAAGGACACACAUGCAUGCACUCGCACCCACACUUGUUCAAUUCUGAUCCCAACAAUAUGAUUCUAGAGAGAAGCAGUAGCUAGAGUUUCAGAGAGAGCUAUAUUUCCAGCGCUUCCAAUAAGUGUUUUUCUUCCUCGCUCACCAACGAAGACCAUUGUGAAUCUACUGUGUUUGGACUUUGAGCUAUGGACUCUUGGCUUUGGGUGUUAGCUUGCAAGGUUCAGGUAGUAUGGAGACUGAUGCCUCUGGCGGCAGGAGGUCAGAGCUUAGCUGAUGAUUAUUGCUGUUAUAUGUUAUAUGCUGGCAUGACUGGAUUGGAUACUGUUUAUGUUUUCCGUCUUUAUCUUUAUGUUACUGUUGAGUUGAGACUUAUGUGGGCUUUGUUGUCUUAUUUGGGUGAGCAUGAGAGUUGUCCAUGCCACUAUGUUGUUAGUACUUUUGAGUUGAGUUGUAUAAACUGCUAGUUGGUCCGGUUUACGUGUUGUAGUUCCGUGACUAGAGACUCAUACUUAUGUUAUUUAAUUA